rnacentral:misc_RNA from 1 species
UAGCUUCGGAGAACCACGGC